AUGAUAUCAUAAUAACUAAGAUCAAAGUGCAACUAAGCUGUCAUAAGCCAAAGAUGCAUCUAAGGUCUCCCUAAAAAAUGAUCUUAGCGCUCUUGAUUAAUUUAACUCCACGAAAGCUAAGACACAAACUGGGAUUAGAUACCCCACUAUGCUUAGCCCUAAAUCUUGAUGCUUUCUAGUACCAAAGCAUCCGCCCGAGAACUACGAGCACAAACGCUUAAAACUCUAAGGACUUGGCGGUGCCCUAAACCCACCUAGAGGAGCCUGUUCUGUAAUCGAUAACCCACGUUACACCCGACCGCCUCUUGCCAUCUAAGCAGCCUACAUACCGCCGUCGCCAGCUCACCUUCUCUGAGAGUUCAAUAGUGAGCACAAUAGCCCAAACCGGCUAAUAAGACAGGUCGAGGUAUAGCCCACGGGGCGGAAGAAAUGGGCUACAUUUUCUAAAAUAGAAAACUCACGGAAGGGGGCAUGAAAUUGCCCCCCGAAGCGGAUUAGUAGUAAAGAGGGAUAAUAUAAGCCCCCUUUAAAUCGGCCCUGGGCACGUACAUACCGCCCG
rnacentral:rRNA from 1 species